CAGCCGCGGUAAUACGGAGGGUGCAAGCGUUAAUCGGAAUUACUGGGCGUAAAGGGUGCGUAGGUGGUUUAUUAAGUUAUCUGUGAAAUCCCUGGGCUCAACCUGGGAAGGUCAAAUAAAACUGUUUGACUCGAGUAUGGGAGAGGGUAGUGGAAUUUCCGGUGUAGCGGUGAAAUGCGUAAAGAUCGGAAGGAACACCAGUGGCGAAGGCGGCUACCUGGCCUAAUACUGACACUGAAGCACGAAAGCGUGGGGAGCAAACAGGAUUAAAUACC
rnacentral:rRNA from 1 species